rnacentral:rRNA from 1 species
GUAGGUGGCAAGCGUUGUCCGGAAUUAUUGGGCGUAAAGCGCGCGCAGGCGGUUCUUUAAGUCUGAUGUGAAAGCCCACGGCUCAACCGUGGAGGGUCAUUGGAAACUGGAGAACUUGAGUACAGAAGAGGAAAGCGGAAUUCCACGUGUAGCGGUGAAAUGCGUAGAGAUGUGGAGGAACACCAGUGGCGAAGGCGGCUUUCUGGUCUGUAACUGACGCUGAGGCGCGAAAGCGUGGGGAGCAAACAGGAUUAGAUACCCUGGUAGUCCACGCCGUAAACGAUGAGUGCUAAGUGUUAGGGGGGUUUUCCGCCCCCCUUAGUGCUGCAGCUAACGCAUUAGCACUCCGCCUGGGAGUACGGCCGCAAGGCUG